UACGUAGGGUGCGAGCGUUGUCCGGAAUCACUGGGCGUAAAGAGCGUGUAGGCGGCCAGGUAGGUCUGCUGUGAAAACUCGAGGCUUAACCUCGAGCUGUCGGCGGAAACCAUCUGGCUAGAGUCCGGAAGAGGAGAAUGGAAUUCCCGGUGUAGCGGUGAAAUGCGCAGAUAUCGGGAAGAACACCCGUGGCGAAGGCGGUUCUCUGGGACGGUACUGACGCUGAGACGCGAAAGCGUGGGGAGCGAACAGG
rnacentral:rRNA from 1 species